GACGAACGCUGGCGGCGUGCCUAAUACAUGCAAGUCGAGCGGACAGAAGGGAGCUUGCUCCCGGAAGUUAGCGGCGGACGGGUGAGUAACACGUGGGCAACCUACCCUGUAGAUCGGGAUAACAUCGAGAAAUCGGUGCUAAUACCGGAUAAUCAUUUGAAGUGCAUGCUUCGAAUGUAAAAGAUGGCUCCGGCUAUCACUACGGGAUGGGCCCGCGGCGCAUUAGCUAGUUGGUAAGGUAAUGGCUUACCAAGGCAACGAUGGGUAGCCGACCUGAGAGGGGGAUCGGCCAAACUGGGACUGAGACACGGCCCAGACUCCUACGGGAGGCAGCAGUAGGGAAUCUUCCGCAAUGGACGAAAGUCUGACGGAGCAACGCCGCGUGAGUGAUGAAGGUUUUCGGAUCGUAAAGCUCUGUUGUUAGGGAAGAACAAGUGCCGUUUGAAUAAGGCGGCACCUUGACGGUACCUAACCAGAAAGCCACGGCUAACUACGUGCCAGCAGCCGCCGUAAAAC
rnacentral:rRNA from 1 species